CAAGCGCGAAAAGGGCGUUUGGUGGAUGCCUAGGCAGUAAGAGGCGAUGAAGGACGUGAUACCCUGCGUUAAGCCAUGGGGAGCCGGGAAUAGGCUUUGAUCCAUGGAUGUCCGAAUGGGGAAACCCACCUGACAGUUCGUUAUAAUUACCUCGGUAGCUUAUAAUGGACUGAAACAGGUACUUUUACCCUGAAUACAUAGGGGUUUAAGAGCAAACCCGGGGAACUGAAACAUCUAAGUACCCGGAGGAAAGGAAAUCAAGAGAGACUCCGCUAGUAGUGGCGAGCGAACGCGGACCAGCCGAUCUUCGGAAAGUGACUGGAAUGCGCUGGAAAGCGCAGCGAUACAGGGUGACAGCCCCGUACAGGAAGCUCAAGAAGACAUAUCAAGUAGGGCGGGACACGUGAAAUCCUGUCUGAAGAUCGGGGGACCACCCCCGAAGGCUAAGUACUCCUUACUGACCGAUAGCGAACCAGUACCGUGAGGGAAAGGUGAAAAGCACCCCGACGAGGGGAGUGAAACAGUACCUGAAACCGGACGCCUACAAGCAGUCGGAGGGACCAUGAGUCCUGACGGCGUACCUUUUGUAUAAUGGGUCAACGACUUGGUCUCACAAGCAAGCUUAAGCCGUUAGGUGUAGGCGCAGCGAAAGCGAGUCUUAAAUGGGCGAUUGAGUUUGUGGGAUCAGACCCGAAACCAGGUGAUCUAGCCAUGUGCAGGAUGAAGGUACGGUAACACGUACUGGAGGUCCGAACCAACACCCGUUGAAAAGGGUCUGGAUGACGUGUGGCUAGGGGUGAAAGGCCAAUCAAACCUGGAGAUAGCUGGUUCUCCGCGAAAGCUAUUUAGGUAGCGCCUCGGACGAAUACCAUCGGGGGUAGAGCACUACAUGGAUGAUGGGGGCCCACAGCCUUACUGAGUCUAAGUAAACUCCGAAUACCGAUGAGUACUAUCCGGGAGACACACGGCGGGUGCUAACGUCCGUCGUGAAGAGGGAAACAACCCUGACCUGCAGCUAAGGCCCCUAAUUCGUGGCUAAGUGGGAAAGCAUGUGGGACGGCCAAAACAACCAGGAGGUUGGCUUAGAAGCAGCCAUCCUUUAAAGAUAGCGUAACAGCUCACUGGUCUAGAUAAGCUGUCCUGCGGCGAAGAUGUAACGGGGCUCAAGCCACGAGCCGAAGCUCAGGAUGCAUAGCAAUAUGCGUGGUAGCGGAGCGUUCUGUGAUAUAGCUUCAUGUGUUUUAUCCGUAUCUCCAAGCAAUUGGGGGACGGAGACGAACACGCGAAGCUUUCUGUGAAGCCGGGCUGUAAGGCAUCCGGUGGAGAGAUCAGAAGCGAGAAUGUUGACAUGAGUAGCGACAAACAGGGUGAGAGACCCUGUCGCCGAAAGUCCAAGGGUUCCUGCUUAAAGCUAAUCUGAGCAGGGUAAGCCGGCCCCUAAGGCGAGGCCGAAAGGCGUAGUCGAUGGGAACCAGGUUAAUAUUCCUGGGCCAGGAGGAAGUGACGGAUCUCGAAGGUUGUUCGCCCUUAUCGGAUUGGGCGGGCCGCUUAGAGGUUCCUGGAAAUAGCCCUCCAUGAGACCGUACCCUAAACCGACACAGGUGGACUGGUAGAGAAUACCAAGGCGCUUGAGAGAACCACAUCAAAGGAACUCGGCAAAAUGCCUCCGUAAGUUCGCGAGAAGGAGGCCCCGUCUGUACGCAAGUAUGGGCGGGGGGCACAAACUAGGGGGUGGCGACUGUUUACUUAAAACACAGGGCUCUGCGAAGCCGUAAGGCGACGUAUAGGGUCUGACGCCUGCCCGGUGCUGGAAGGUUAAAAGGAGGGGUGCAAGCUCUGAAUUGAAGCCCCAGUAAACGGCGGCCGUAACUAUAACGGUCCUAAGGUAGCGAAAUUCCUUGUCGGGUAAGUUCCGACCUGCACGAAUGGCGUA
rnacentral:rRNA from 1 species